rnacentral:rRNA from 1 species
CAACCUGCCUAUAACUAGGGAAUAACCUUGCGAAAGUAAGACUAAUACCCUAUGACUUCCUUUGGCGGCAUCAAAAAAGGAAUAAAGAUUUAUCGGCUAUAGAUGGGGAUGCGUCUGAUUAGCUUGUUGGCGGGGUAACGGCCCACCAAGGCAACGAUCAGUAGGGGUUCUGAGAGGAAGGUCCCCCACAUUGGAACUGAGACACGGUCCAAACUCCUACGGGAGGCAGCAGUGAGGAAUAUUGGUCAAUGGGCGGAAGCCUGAACCAGCCAAGUAGCGUGCAGGAUGACGGCCCUAUGGGUUGUAAACUGCUUUUAUACAGGGAUAAAGUUAGCCACGUGUGGUUAUUUGCAGGUACUGUAUGAAUAAGGACCGGCUAAUUCCGUGCCAGCAGCCGCGGUAAUACGGAAGGUCCGGGCGUUAUCCGGAUUUAUUGGGUUUAAAGGGUGCGUAGGCCGGAGAUUAAGCGUGUUGUGAAAUGUAGACGCUCAACGUCUGCACUGCAGCGCGAACUGGUUUCCUUGAGUACGCACAAAGUGGGCGGAAUUCGUGGUGUAGCGGUGAAAUGCUUAGAUAUCACGAAGAACUCCGAUUG